rnacentral:rRNA from 1 species
UACAGAGGUCUCAAGCGUUGUCCGGAAUUAUUGGGCGUAAAGAGCUUGUAGGCGGUUUGUCGCGUCUGCCGUGAAAAUUCGAGGCUCAACCUCGAACUUGCGGUGGGUACGGGCAGACUAGAGUGUGGUAGGGGAGACUGGAAUUCCUGGUGUAGCGGUGAAAUGCGCAGAUAUCAGGAGGAACACCGAUGGCGAAGGCAGGUCUCUGGGCCACUACUGACGCUGAGAAGCGAAAGCAUGGGGAGCGAACAGG